CGCCGCGGGCUUUGGCUGUGCGCGGAGGGGUGCGCCUGUGCCCCCGCGCCACCGCGUCCGCCGUCGGGCCCCUGGCCCCCAUGGGGAGCCCCUGGAACGGCAGCGACAGCCCCGAGGGCGCUCGGGAGCCGGCGUGGGCCGACCUGCUGCCCUGCGAUGAGCGCCGCUGCUCCGCCUUCCCCCUGGGGGCGCUGGUGCCGGUGACCGCAGUGUGUCUGGGUCUGUUCGCCGUCGGGGUGAGCGGCAAUGUGGUGACCGUACUGCUCAUCGGACGCUACCGGGACAUGCGGACCACCACCAACCUGUACCUGGGCAGCAUGGCCGUGUCCGACCUGCUCAUCCUGCUCGGGCUCCCUUUCGACCUGUACCGCCUGUGGCGCUCGCGUCCCUGGGUGUUCGGGUCGCUUCUCUGCCGCUUGUCGCUCUACUUGGGCGAGGGCUGCACCUACGCCACGCUGCUGCACAUGACCGCUCUGAGCGUCGAGCGCUACCUGGCCAUCUGCCGCCCGCUGCGGGCCCGAGUGCUGGUCACCCGGCGCCGCGUCCGCGCGCUCAUCGCCGCGCUCUGGGCCGUGGCGCUGCUCUCCGCAGGGCCCUUCUUCUUUCUGGUGGGCGUCGAGCAGGACCCCGGCAGCCCUGGGCGCCCACACCUUAACGGGACUGCGCAGCUCACGCCGUCCCCCGGGGCGCCGCCGUCCCCGCCGUCGGAACGCGAGGCCGCAGCGCUGUUCAGCCGCGAGUGCCGGCCCAGUGGCGCGCAGCUGGGCGCGCUCCGCGUCAUGCUGUGGGUCACCACGGCCUACUUUUUCCUGCCCUUCCUGUGCCUCAGCAUCCUCUACGGGCUCAUGGGGCGGAAGCUGUGGAAGACCCGGGGUCUGCUGCAAGGCCCGGCUGCCUCGGGGCGGGAAAAGGGCCACCGGCAAAGCGUCCGCGUCCUGCUGGUCGUGGUUCUGGCAUUUAUAGUUUGCUGGUUGCCUUUCCACAUUGGCAGAAUCAUUUAUAUAAACACAGAAGACUCCCACAUGAUGUACUUUUCUCAGUACUUUAACAUUGUUGCUCUGCAACUUUUCUAUCUCAGUGCAUCCAUCAACCCUGUCCUCUACAACCUCAUUUCCAAGAAAUAUAGAGCAGCUGCCUAUAAAUUGCUGCUCACAAGACAGUUCAAGCUGAGAGGUUUCUGUGGAAGCAGGGACUCUAUGGAGGAUCCCAAGAGGGACACUGGAGAAGACACUGCUGGCUGCACAGAGACAAUGACUAACACAAAGGCAAUGGCCUAACAGCGCGAGGAAGCCAGUUCUGGGACUUUGGGGACAACAGAUUUGUACAUAAGUGCAAGUAAGGGAUGGGAUGCUAUUAAGAAGACUGCAGAAUGGUUGCGACUUUGCAAGUUGGUGAAGAAACUGUCGAUUUUUUUUUUUAACCAAGAUAACAUGCAUGGAACCCAAGUGACUGCAAGUAAGAAAACUUGUCUGCCAAAAACACACCUGGGUGUUUAUAGCAACUUUAUACAUAAAUGGCAAAAGUUGAAAGUAACCAUGAUGUCUUUCAAUAGGUGAAUGGAUAAACAAAUUGUAGUAUACCCAGACAAUGAAAUUUUAUUCAGCUCUGAAAAGAGUUAAGCCAAGAAAAAACAUGAAGAAAACUUAAAUGCAUAUUACCAAGUGAAAAAAGUCAAUCUGAUAAGGCCAUAUACUGUAUGAUUCCAACUACACAACAUUCUGAAAAAAAAAUUAGCAAGCCAGUAAAAAGAUCAGUGUCGGACAAGGUAGUGGAAAGAAAGAAUGAAUAGGUGGAGCACAGAGUUUUCAGGACAGUGAAACUCAUCUGACUGAUACCACAAUGGUGGAUACAUUUCAUCGCAGAUUUGCCCAAACCCACAGAAUAGACCACCCCAACAGUGACUCAUAGUGUAAACUGUGUGCUUUGGGUGACAACGAUAGGUCACUGAAGGCUCAUUGGUUGUAACAAGUACACCAAUCUGGUAGUGAUGUGGCUAAUAGGAAAGACCACGCAUCUAGGGAACAGGAGACACACGGGGAAUCUAUGUACCAUCCUCUCAAUUGUACAUGGAGCAUAAAACUGCUCUAAAAAUAAAAUCUAAUAAAAAGUUAACCUCAAAUGUAUUAUGUUUCAUUUGCCUGAAGAAAAUUAGCCAGAUAUAUUGUAUUUAACUUGACUAUUUGAUUUAGACAGUCACUUCCUCUCUGAGUCCUUAAAUCCCCAUUCCUCAAAUAGUAUCUGAAGGUCUCAUGCCACAACUGGAGGGUAUGUUAUGAGUUAAAUAGGGAGAAUUAAUUGAGUUAUACUGAAAAACAGCUACACUCAUUUGUUUACCAAUUGUCUAUGGCUGCUUUUGCAGCGGAGUAAAGCA